rnacentral:tRNA from 1 species
UGUGGUGUGAAUGGUUAAUGUAUUUGGCUGCUAACCAAAAGUUGAUGGUUCAAGUCCACCCA